rnacentral:rRNA from 1 species
UACGUAGGGUGCAAGCGUUGUCCGGAUUUAUUGGGCGUAAAGAGCUCGUAGGCGGUUUGUCGCGUCGACUGUGAAAGCCCGGGGCUCAACUCCGGGUCUGCAGUCGAUACGGGCAGACUAGAGUUCGGUAGGGGAGACUGGAAUUCCUGGUGUAGCGGUGAAAUGCGCAGAUAUCAGGAGGAACACCGGUGGCGAAGGCGGGUCUCUGGGCCGAUACUGACGCUGAGGAGCGAAAGCGUGGGGAGCGAACAGG